UUAAAACUCGUCAGGGGUAAUCUUGUAAAUUGGUGAAGUCUUGGGCUCUAUGUCGGAUGGAACCAAACGGGCCUCUGCGCGCUUCGCUGUCGAUUGAUGUCACAUGAUGUGCAUCAAUCGAUUAUUGUCUCUUAAUGUCGACCAGUGGUCUUGCUCGAUGGUCAGCUCGGAUGUUUUCUCCAAUUAUCUCCAAAAUACUCCAAAAUCAUCACUUUCUCUCAAAUCACUCCUGAUCCUAUAAAUAUAUUAAAUAGACUUUAAAAUAUAAUAAUUAGUUAUUAAAACACUUAUAAACAAUGCCUAAAAGUGGGUAAUAUCCGUGGCCUAUCAAGACAUGAUAAAAGAAACACAAAUCGGAUUUUGAAUAAAUUGUAUUAAAAGAUGAAAAGAGACAGUAUGGAAGUUUGAAAUUUUCUUUCUGAAGGAGUUCUGACUUGUCUCUCCAAUGUUGUAUAAGAUUAAAAAAAAGUGUUGCCUAAACAAUGACUUUAUAAUAGUAAAUAUAGGGUAAAACACGGCUAGGACCGUGGGAGUUAAAACUAAUCGCAAUCAGAAUUUGAAUCAGAAUAAAGUAAGGUUUAGGGAAAGAUUUCCGUGAAUAGAUCUCUAAGAUAGUUUUCUCGAACUCGACUUAAUAUUAUUGAAAAUGAAUAUGAUGAAUACAAAUAAUUAAAAAAAAAUGAAACAACUCGAAAGAGUGUAUUCUAGAUAUGAGGCAAGUGAGUUAAAAAGUGUGUCUAUUAAUGAUCUUGGCCUUGUCUUUUAUACUCCUCAUCUCGUUGCAACUACUCAACGUAUCUAGGGCGAACGUGUCGUGUCGUGCUUUGCUCCGGAGAUCUCGAUCUUUAAUUUAGCCGAUUGACCGCGAAGUGGUCAGGUAUUGGUUGUUAUCUGCAGACUUGAAACUUGCUACCUUGGCCUGUGAAUUGGCUCUUGGGGUCGGAAUAAAUGGGCUACACUAAAUGAUCAUGUCUUCACUACCAAUUCAGCCCGUUUCGAUUGAGCCUUUAUUGGGACAGAUUUAUUUGAUAAAUCAUGCUCCAACAGUUUCCUUGUGGUCAUUUUUAAUGGGCGGAGAUGACUAAAGAUGCUUCUCCUACACGCGUCGAUUUAGUUCUUUGGAUGGGUAUUGUUUACGUCUAAUUAAACGGUGUGAAAUCAAUAGCUUUUCCCUUGAGGUAAUCUUCUGCUGUGGAUUUAAUUCUAUCAAACUCGAUGUCUCGCAGCACGUCAUUUAUGGUGUUAGUUAGGAAUUGACAAGACCCAAAACUGUAAGGACCAUUCGAUCUACAUGCAGUUAUCGACAUCGAACAAUUCGUCUUUGGUCGUCAAAUAUUUGCUUCUACUUUUCCAAGAUUUUUUUGGGUGGUGAGAGUCCUAAGUUCUCCAUAACUUCUGCGACAUCUAGUUUUUGUCUUCCCCUAUUUAUACUUCGACGCUUAUUAUUAACGAUACCUUUUUAUUUUUACUGAAAUUUUGAAAGCUAUAGACUUUUCAUCUUCUUUGUCUUCUUCUCUAUGUUCUAACGACGAGACAUGCAACCAUAGAGAUUUAGGAGGGAGAGCUCUUUGGCCCUCACGUACGAUCAAAGAUGACGUACGAUGCUCUAGUUACCUUUCGCCGAUCUUUCAACGUACUCGACAAAAUACGACCGUUAGUUCCAGCUGGUGUUGAGUGUCCAAAAUGGGUGAAACUUUUUUCUGCACAUACACGGUUUUCUUUGAAAAUGAGACGAAGUGGAAUCCUGGGUUCAAGGAUACUUUUUACUUCUCCACAUGCGCUAACUGUAAAAUUCUCACCGAGCUUUCGAGAAAAGAUGAAUAGAGAGAGAGGAGUAUUUCUUUUUUGAAGUAAACGAAGCUUCAAUAGGCAAUUUUGAUCACACGCGGAUGUUUUCUAUUUGGAUACUGGUUGAUGAUAAUCCCAGAUCUGAGCCUUUAUCCGAUCACGUCCGUUCUUUGGUUUGUCGGUUGUGUGGCGGGACUGUCGAUUGGCCUUCUUUUAGUAGACCGAGGUUGCUCGAUGCGCUUGGCGUCCUCCUUAACGUCUACCAAGAGCUCAUUCCUCGCUUAGGACCACUGCCUAUCAGUUGGCUCGGCCUCAAGCGGCUGGGAUGUGCAGAUCAUUAAUUUUUGAUGUGUCGAGCUUAUCAACCCAAUCUCAACCGCCAGUCAUUUUUCAUGAUACUUUGGGACGUUCUGUUUGGGAGCCUAUUCAGGUCAUGAAUAGGCAAGGGAAGCCUUGCUUCUGUAAUGGAGGGGGGUGCUGAGACGUCUGACCGGCGUGCUGGCGUCGUUAUGGAUCCGUCCGUCAGAGGUUGGUUGUUUAGCAGAUCCGGACCGUGGAUAGCAUGAGAAAGAGGGCCCGCAGAGAAGGUUCUUCACACUCAUUGGUUAGAGGCGGCGAAUAUGUCAUUCCCUGUUGGCCUUUAGAGCAUAAAAAGAUUUUACUAAUGCAGAGGACCCAUAUGGCGCGGCAUCUCUGAUUUACUUGUUGGGAGGGAAGGAGUACCAAUUGUCAGUUCCUAGUACUCUUCGAGAGAGGGAACCCUACAACAACCCUACUGUUGCUCUCGUGAAAGGAUUAUUUCUUUCAUAAUAUUGCUUUAAUUAUUUUAUGAUGAUUUUGACUUGUUUGACGCAUUUGUCUGUCUGUAGAAGCUUUGGACCAUCUGGUUUUCCAUUAUGAGGCAAGGGUCGAUGAGGGAGGUCCAGCGAAUGCAGAUCAUUCGAGUUUGGAAAGGCUUCCCGCUGAUCUUCAGGCAGCUAAGGACCGUGAGGAUUACCUUGUUAUAGAUCUUUCUGACCACAAAGCUCGCAUUACCUUGUUAUAGAUAUUUCUGACCACAAAGCUUGCAUUGUGCACAUAUAAGAUCUAGCGCACAAAUUUCAGGUCUCCACUGAUCUAUACGCUGCUCUUGAGGCUGAGUGGGAUGCGGUCUUGGCUAGGGUGAAAAGUCUUGAAGAAUAUAUUUCGAGCUUUGUGACGCCUCAUGAAGUUUGGAUGAGGCUCUCAAUUCAGACUGAUAAAUGGAGAGUCUCAGCUCAGUAUACUGUUUACGUUUUGAGACAUGUGGGUGGCCAAGGGUAAGGAGGCGACUGCUGAAAUCGAACUCCAGGAUGUGGCGGCAAACAUCAGUCUCUUAGAUUUGCUCCAGGGGGGAGGUCGAGAUCGAGACAGAGAUGGUUGUGUUAAGCGACAUAGAGAAAGAAUGUGAUAGUGCUUGGAGGGGCAUCCAAGUUUCGAAUGUGUCUCUAGGAAAGCUUGCUCCACCGUCGGUUUUGUAGGAUUCUGUGAUGAUGGAAGCGGCCCCGGUGGGUGAUCAGAUUGUUAACUCCGAUGGUGGAGUUAGGAGGUUUGAGAGUGUUCAUUCCUCCUUUUUUUUAUUGUUUAUGUUGCCUAAUAAUGGCUUUUUAUAAACAAUACCUUAAAAAUUAAUGAAGAAUGCAUAAGAUCUGUUUUUUUUUUUA